GGAGAGGAGGUGAGGAAGGAAAGGAGAGGAGGUGAGGAAGGAAAGGAGAGGAGGUGAGGGAGGAAAGGAGAGGAGGUGAGGAAGGAAAGGAGAGGAGGUGAGGGAGGAAAGGAGAGGAGGAUAGCAGUGGAGGUGAGUGAGAGAAGGAGAGGAGGUGAGGAAGGAAAGGAGAGGAGGUGAGGAAGGAAAGGAGAGGAGGUGAGGAAGGAAAGGAGGUGAGGGAGGAAAGGAGGUGAGGGAGGAAAGGAGAGGAGGAUAGCAGUGGAGGUGAGUGAGAGAAGGAGAGGAGGUGAGGGAGGAAAGGAGAGGAGGUGAGGAAGGAAAGGAGAGGAGGUGAGGAAGGAAAGGAGAGGAGGUGAGGGAGGAAAGGAGAGGAGGUGAGGGAGGAAAGGAGAGGAGGUGAGGGAGGAAAGGAGAGGAGGUGAGGGAGGAAAGGAGAGGAGGUGAGGAAGGAAAGGAGAGGAGGUGAGGGAGGAAAGGAGAGGAGGUGAGGAAGGAAAGGAGAGGAGGUGAGGGAGGAAAGGAGAGGAGGUGAGGGAGGAAAGGAGAGGAGGUGAGGAAGGAAAGGAGAGGAGGAUAGCAGUGGAGGUGAGGGAGAGAAGGAGAUUGGGAGAGAGGAGGGCAAGGGGUAGGUGUCAGAUACAAUUCAAACUAAAUGAUAUUACACAUCACAUGGUGCUCGUAUACACGAUGUGGUCCGAUGAAUACAGGCUGUUUAAACAGGCAGUCAGUUCUGAUCUUUUGACACUAAUUGGUCUUUUUUGUAUUUUUAUUUUGACCAUGUCGGUGUACCAGGUGGUGUACCUAACACUGUCUGUAGGAGCUGACCAUGUGGGUGUACCAGGUGGUGUACCUAACACUGUCUGUAGGAGCUGACCAUGUCGGUGUACCAGGUGGUGUACCUAACACUGUCUGUAGGAGCUGACCAUGUGGGUGUACCAGGUGGUGUACCUAACACUGUCUGUAGGAGCUGACCAUGUCGGUGUACCAGGUGGUGUACCUAACACUGUCUGUAGGAGCUGACCAUGUGGGUGUACCAGGUGGUGUACCUAACACUGUCUGUAGGAGCUGACCAUGUGGGUGUACCAGGUGGUGUACCUAACACUGUCUGUAGGAGCUGACCAUGUCGGUGUACCAGGUGGUGUACCUAACACUGUCUGUAGGAGCUGACCAUGUCGGUGUACCAGGUGGUGUACCUAACACUGUCUGUAGGAGCUGACCAUGUCGGUGUACCAGGUGGUGUACCUAACACUGUCUGUAGGAGCUGACCAUGUCGGUGUACCAGGUGGUGUACCUAACACUGUCUGUAGGAGCUGACCAUGUCGGUGUACCAGGUGGUGUACCUAACACUGUCUGUAUA